ensembl:lncRNA
AUUUUUGAAUCAUACAUGUCUAUAGUUUCUCAGUGUCUUGUCUAUUCAAGAAAUAUCCGAUUUUGACAGUUUGCCUGUAUCCCAGACAGAGUAGUACCAUUUUAAAUUGGUGUUCAAUAUUUCGUUUACAAACCCGAUAAAAGCCUUAGUAGAAUUCAUGACUUCCCUUAUUUGAGACACCACUCACACUCCCCUUUGAAGAAACGACACUCCUUUUUACGUCCUGUCCUCUACGUCGUGUUCCAUUUCCAACCCGACCGCAACUCACCCUGAGUUCACUUUUGUUACCGGCGACGGACGCUCCUCUCCGGCAGAGAACCGCGCCGCAGCCCUCCCACCAAGCGACCCUGUUUCUGGGGGGCGGGGUCGACGGACGGACGGACGGACGGACGGUCAUUCAUCCGAUGUAAAUACGACAACGUUCAUGUCGCCGAGCGCGUUUUAUUUCUGAAAACCUUUGGAUAAAACCAGGCGCACCGUCAAUCUACGAGAGGGCAUCUAGAAGAUAAAUCAACAGCGCCACUCGGGAGGCCGGGGCCCCACAUGCGCCUUUUUCCUUGAAGAGGACAUCAACAUGUCACAUUUCUACAUGAACAAUAAUUUAACAUAGCAUUGUGUAUUCUUUUAAAAUCACAUAGUGUCUUCAGAAGGUAUUCACACCCCUUGACUUUUUCCACAUUUUUGGUGCGUUACUGCCUGAAUUUAAAAUGGAUUACAUUGAAGGGCCUCCCGGGUGGCGCAGUGGUUAAGGGCGCUGUACUGCAGCGAUCAGAGACUCGGAGACUCUGUGUUCGCUCCCAGGCUCUGUCGAAACCGGCUGCGACGGGGAGGUCCAUGGGGCGACGCACAAUUGGCCUAGCGUCGUCCGGGUUAGGGAGGGCUUGGCCGGUAGGGAUAUCCUUGUCUCAUCACAAGACAAGAUAGUAGCUACUACAAUAAUUGGAGACCACGAAAAAGGGGUAAAAAAGAAAAUGGAUUACAUUGAGAUGUUGUGUCACUGGCCUUCACACAAUAUCCCAUAGUGUCAAAGUGGUAUGUUGUUAGGAAAUAUUUUUAUAAAUUAAUAAAAAAUGAAUAGCUAAAAUGUCUUGAGUCAAGUAUUCAAUCGCUUUUUGUUUUGGUCUAAAUGAGUUUAGGAAUAUGUUGUAGAGACUCUGUGUUCAAUAAACACAUGUUGUAGAGACCUGCUUCACCGUAGGGAUGCUGCCACCACCCUGCUUCACCGUAGGGAUGCUGCCACCACCCUGCUUCACCAUAGGGAUGCUGCCACCACCCUGCUUCACCGUAGGGAUGCUGCCACCACCAUGCUUCACCGUAGGGAUGCUGCCACCACCAUGCUUCACCAUAGGGAUGCUGUCACCACCAUGCUUCACUGUAGGAAUGCUGCCACCACCAUGCUUCACCGUAGGAAUGCUGCCACCACCAUGCUUCACCGUAGGGAUGCUGCCACCACCCUGCUUCACCGUAGGGAUGCUGUCACCAUUAUGCUUCACCGUAGGGAUGCUGUCACCAUUAUGCUUCACCGUAGGGAUGCUGCCACCACCAUGCUUCACCGUAGGGAUGCUGCCACCACCAUGCUUCACCGUAGGGAUGCUGCCACCACCAUGCUUCACUGCCAGGUGUCCAAUUUCGAGUCUCAUAGCAAAGGGUCUGAAUUCUAAUGUCAGUAAGGUAUUUCUAUUUUUUUAAUAUUUUAUACAUUUGCAAACUUUUCUAAAAACCUGUUUAUACUUUUGUCAUUUUGGGGUGUUGUGUGUAGAUUUCUGAGGAUUUUUAUUUAAUUUAAUCCAUUCUAGAAUAAGGCUGUAACGUAACAAAAUGUGGGGGGGGGAAAUCGAGGGUUUUGAAUACUUUCCGAAGGCACUGUAUAUAAUUACACUGUCCUCCAAGAGUCUCUGAAUCUAUGCUCUACUUCAGUUUGUUCCUCAAUUCACGCAGCUUGGUUGGAGAGCGAGGUAGCAGCAGUGAUCUGUGUGUGGGGGAUGGGCACAGCAGCACUUCCCUCAGUAAAAGCCAGAGCCCAGUAAUGUAGUUCCUGCUGCAUUCUUGUUCCUGUGUGUUACUGUGCUAACAAACAUCCCAGCACAUUGAAAUACCGCAGGGAGGGGGUUGUAAAGUAAUAGCCCAGACAGGUAAAACAUGGAGACCUGAGGGUAUACUCUCACUGCUAAAGCUGGGACGAUAAACCCUCAAAUUAUACACCGACCGAAUAUCACAGGCAUUUUGCUUGAUAUGGUUUAUUACGAUCAGUAGCCUAUGCUAGAGAAAUUAAAUACGUUUGUUGAUAUGGGCCAUGAUUGUUGGUGGAACAAUAGAUGGUUACAACCAAUCACACUGCUACUAGUAGUAGUUUGAAUGGUUCAUAAAUCAACCGCACAUUCAUGUUAGAAACGUAUUGUUCUCUAUGUCUUAAUCACAGCAGGUCAUUUAUUGCGAUAUGGAUUUUUCUCCAUAUGGCCCGCCUCUACUCACCACCUAACCCCUAGCAGAACGGGGGUGAUGAGGAGGGAUGUAUAGGUAGUCCCCGUGGUGGUUGUCAGGGGAUGAAGAGGGGGGGUAGGUCUGGGGUGAGGCUAUAGAGGGGUCCCCCAGCCUGCUAGCCUCCCCAGGCCCAAGGCUGAUCCCUCCCAGAGGCUUUAGACAAGACCAGGGCUCCCUGCUGUCUUCAGAGAGACACACACACACACACACACACACACACACACACACACACACUUCUAGCUUACACACACACUCCCAGCUCACACACAGUUACACACACACCCACACACUCCCAGCUCAGACAGAGGAUCCUGUGAAGUGUGGUAUCUGCUGAGGCUGUAUGUGAGGAGAGAGGAGAGGAGCCCUUGAUCGUGCCAACUGCUGCCUUCCUGUAUCCUCCUCUCCCUUCCCCAUCUUUACUUCCCCCUUCCUGUAUCCCCC